UGCAAGUCGAGCGGUAACAGGAAUUAGCUUGCUAAUUUGCUGACGAGCGGCGGACGGGUGAGUAACGCGUAGGAAUCUGCCUGGUAGUGGGGGACAACAUGUGGAAACGCAUGCUAAUACCGCAUACGCCCUACGGGGGAAAGGAGGGGAUCUUCGGACCUUUCGCUAUCAGAUGAGCCUGCGUGAGAUUAGCUAGUUGGUGGGGUAAAGGCUCACCAAGGCAACGAUCUGUAGCUGGUCUGAGAGGACGAACAGCCACACUGGGACUGAGACACGGCCCAGACUCCUACGGGAGGCAGCAGUGGGGAAUAUUGGACAAUGGGCGAAAGCCUGAUCCAGCAAUGCCGCGUGUGUGAAGAAGGCCUGCGGGUUGUAAAGCACUUUCAGUUGGGAAGAUGAUGACGUUACCAACAGAAGAAGCACCGGCUAAAUCCGUGCCAGCAGCCGCGGUAAUACGGAUGGUGCGAGCGUUAAUCGGAAUUACUGGGCGUAAAGCGCGCGUAGGCGGCUAAGUCAGUCAGAAGUGAAAGCCCCGGGCUCAACCUGGGAAUUGCUUUUGAUACUGCUUGGCUAGAGUUUGGUAGAGGAUAGUGGAAUUCCAGGUGUAGCGGUGAAAUGCGUAGAUAUCUGGAGGAACAUCAGUGGCGAAGGCGACUGUCUGGACCAAAACUGACGCUGAGGUGCGAAAGCGUGGGUAGCAAACAGGAUUAGAUACCCUGGUAGUCCACGCCGUAAACGAUGUCAACUAGCCGUCGGGUCUAUUUACAGACUUGGUGGCGCAGCUAACGCGAUAAGUUGACCGCCUGGGGAGUACGGCCGCAAGGUUAAAACUCAAAGGAAUUGACGGGGGCCCGCACAAGCGG
rnacentral:rRNA from 1 species